rnacentral:rRNA from 1 species
CGCAUCUGUGCAUGCAGCAUAUCAAUAAGCGGAGGAAAAGAAACUAACAAGGAUUCCCCUAGUAACGGCGAGUGAAGCGGGAAGAGCUCAAAUUUGAAAUCUUAAAGGGUUUCCCUUUACGAAUUGUAGUUUAAAGAAGUGUUUUCUGUUGAGGUUUUGGUAAAAGUUCUUUGGAAUAGGACAUCAUAGAGGGUGAGAAUCCCGUAUUUGACCUUUACUUUCAACUCUGUGAUACACUUUCAAAGAGUCGGAUUGUUUGGGAAUGCAGUCCAAAAUGGGUGGUAAAUUUCAUCUAAAGCUAAAUAUUGGCGAGAGACCGAUAGCGAACAAGUACCGUGAGGGAAAGAUGAAAAGAACUUUGAAAAGAGAGUUAAACAGUACUGUGAAAUUGUCAAAAGGGAAGCGUUUGACACCAGUGUUGUUUUUCUGAAAAUCAAUUAAAGAACUGUUUAUGCUAAGCUGUUUAGACUUUAUCAGCUAUCUGUUUAGUUUUAGGCUUUUCUUUAAUGCACUUUUCGGUUAACAAGUCAACAUCAAUUUCUUUUGCUGUAAAAAAGCUUGAGGAAGGUGGCUUGAGAUUCGUCUUAAGUGUUUAUAGCCUCUUGCCUAUGCAGUCGGAGAGAUUGAGGUCUGCAGCGUAGAUCCUUCGGGGCUAAAUGCAUUUGUGCUAAGUUAUAGCAUUUUAUAGACAACUUGUUGACUAUGAUUUGUCUUGUAGCUUACUCGCUUAUGUUAUUUUACCUACGCUUAGGAUGUUGAACGCGCACAGAGUCUC